AGGCGCGUAGCUCAGUUGGUUAGAGCACCACCUUGACAUGGUGGGGGUCAGCAGUUCGAAUCUGCUCGUGCCUACCA
rnacentral:tRNA from 2 species